CCUACGGGAGGCAGCAGUCGAGAAUUAUUCACAAUGGGGGAAACCCUGAUGGUGCGACGCCGCGUGGGGGAAUGAAGGUCUUCGGAUUGUAAACCCCUGUCAUGUGGGAGCAAAUUAAAAAGAUAGUACCACAAGAGGAAGAGACGGCUAACUCUGUGCCAGCAGCCGCGGUAAUACGGAGGGUGCAAGCGUUGUCCGGAAUCAUUGGGCGUAAAGAGUUCGUAGGCGGUAUGUUAAGUCUGGUGUUAAAUGCAGAAGCUCAACUUCUGUUCGGCACUGGAUACUGGCAAACUAGAAUGCGGUAGAGGUAAAGGGAAUUCCUGGUGUAGCGGUGAAAUGCUUAGAGAUCAGGAGGAACAUCGGUGGCGUAAGCGCUUUACUGGGCCGUAAUUGACGCUGAGGAACGAAAGCCAGGGUAGCAAAUGGGAUUAGAUACCCGAGUAGUC
rnacentral:rRNA from 1 species